AUAUACACAGGAAGUUGAAACCCUAUGUGCCGCCACCAUUUUGCAUCGUCUCUCUCCUCGUCAUCUCGCUAUUUUUGGCAAGAUUUCAGAGGUGUAAGACUUCCUCAGGCUUGGCAUGGUCGAUUUGAGGCAAGCAUUAAUUGCUUCGCCUCAUCUCUCAUCCGUUACAACCCUAAACAAGCUUUGGAUUUGAGGAGUAGAAGAUCUCCAAGUUUCAAAUCUCGACAAAGGUUGCACAAAAGAAAAGUAAUCUUCUCACCUUUAUUUAUUUUUAAACAUUUUUUGUGUUUAGUAUGGUUCAGUUUCAUUAUGUUUGUUAAUAGCAGUUAGUUUGUGCUUAUAGCUGUUGGUAUAGCUUAGUUUCCAUUAUAUGAGUAAUUUAGUAGUAAUUAGCUCAUAUUGUUGAGGUUUACAUUUAGUUAUGUAUAGUCAGUUUAUGAUAUGAUUAAAUUAGUAGUACGUUAGUAGCAGGUUAGUCAUUUGCCCCCAUAUACUGAUACCUUACCUCCAAAUGUCAUCUGUGUAAUUCUCCUUUAGCUCAGUUAAUCAUGUGAUUAUUAGCUUAGUUGGUUAAUGAGUCCAGUUUGCCAUGUCUUAGUUUAGUAUGACUUAAAGAUUAUAUGUUAAGUUAACAACCAUAAUGAUCAAGUUACUAUUGGUAAAUGCUCAAGCAUGUUUAGUCUAGGGAUCUAUGUAUGUUAGUAAUGUUAUCAUUAAUGACAUGUUGGGUUAUGCUUAGUUCAAAUAGCCUUAUAUAUGUAUGUUUGGAUGAUAGACUAGGUCAUUUUCUCAUUCACCCUGCUUAAGCAUGUCAUUUCUGCAUUUGUUAAGUGACAUUUUAUCUACAAAGUUUGUUUUAGUCAAAUCUGUGAUCUACCUACUUUGGUUUAUUUAUUCUAUCUUGUUGUGUAGGUUUAUAUGGUUAUGUGUUUAAAUCCAAGUGAGCUUUAGUUAACCACUUAGGCUUUAACUUUCAAGAAUGCUUAAACCUUACAUAUGUGUAGUCAUUUAAGCCUAUCAGUAACUUAGUUCAUAUGUCUAGCUGCACAUUGCUAUGGUUGAUUCUUGUAUGUCAUCAGCUUGCCUGUUAGUCCAUGUAGCUCCUUAUUGCCUGUGAUAUGCAUAUAGAGGUGUUAUCAGUUAAUUAGUGUGGCUAGAAAUUUUCACAUUCAUCAUGCUUGUUUAGAUGGUUGUGGAACUGUUUAAUUUCUUUACAUCAUGUUUUGUCUAACUGUCACGACCUAAUUUCGCUGAGUCGCGCGGGCACCUACCUUUCUCACCUCGGUAGGCGAACCCUUAUCCCAACAAUCUUAAAGACAUGAAAUAAUAAAUAAAUAAAUAAAUAAGCGAAAAAGAUAGAAAUAUGUAAGUCUCACAUAAUAAUAGAUAAAGAAAUUUACGGAAGUAUGGAAUACAUCAAAACAACCCCAGAAUCUAGUCUAAUCAUACAAGAGCCUCUAACUAGAAUCUACAAGUCUGGAAAUGAUAAUAAUACAUCAAAAGUCUCAAUAUGUCCCAGAACAUCAAACUAAGACAUAAAUAAAGGAAGAAUCUUCAAGGCGGCGAAUGUCCUCGUGCUCACCCUGUAAAACUCUAAUCAGCAACCCUCGAACUACUAUCAGCCACGAGGAGUAGAGGUCAAACCCGCCUGGAACUCUGCAUUCAUAAAAGAAUAUAGCAAGUACAGGUCAGUACAAACAACAAGUACUGAUAGGUAUCAUAAGCCGACUAAGAUUAGCUAACAUAUAUCAAGACAAUAAAGUAAGAUGAAUAGGUAAAUAAACAAGGUAUAAGUCAAACACGAGCCAGUAAUCAAGUACACAUCAUCACCUAUGUUAUAGCAUCUAAACCCAAAUGUGUCAAUUCUCAACAUAUUCAAUCCGAAUUCGUAUAUCACAAGUACAUCACAAGAAUAUCACAAUAGAAGCCAUAGUACAAUGCAAUGCAAUAAUGUAUGAAGUGUGAAUGCAAUGCGUAUGCGCCGUACACAUGUACUCCGAUGUUGGAACAUCAUAUCUCGGCAGCACAACCUAUAGGGGACCCGCGAAGUCCAUAUACCUUACGAUUCGGGCAACAACCUCGGCAAUCGCUACCAACCCUCAUCCUCGAUUCCGGAAUAAAAAUCGGACAUCCUUUCUCACGUCACUCUCAUCCAACUGAGCCCCGCUCGUAACAGUAUUUCCUUAAGUAUCAUCAAUGUAUCAACCGUAUAUCAUGAAGGAUGAGAAUGCGUACAAUGUAUGAGUUCAAUGUCAAUAAUCAAAUCAAUAUCAAAAG